GAGUUUGAUCCUGGCUCAGGACGAACGCUGGCGGCGCGCCUAACACAUGCAAGUCGAACGAGCGAGAGAGAGCUUGCUUUCUCGAGCGAGUGGCGAACGGGUGAGUAACGCGUGAGGAACCUGCCUCAAAGAGGAGGACAACAGUUGGAAACGACUGCUAAUACCGCAUAAGCCCACGGGUCGGCAUCGACCAGAGGGAAAAGGAGCAAUCCGCUUUGAGAUGGCCUCGCGUCCGAUUAGAUAGUUGGUGAGGUAACGGCUCACCAAGUCAACGAUCUGUAGCCGAACUGAGAGGUUGAUCGGCCGCAUUGGGACUGAGACACGGCCCAGACUCCUACGGGAGGCAGCAGUGGGGAAUAUUGCGCAAUGGGGGCAACCCUGACGCAGCAACGCCGCGUGCAGGAAGAAGGUCUUCGGAUUGUAAACUGUUGUCGCAAGGGAAGAAGACAGUGACGGUACCUUGUGAGAAAGUCACGGCUAACUACGUGCCAGCCGCCGCGGUAAUUC
rnacentral:rRNA from 1 species